CAUGGGAUUCACAUCCCAUGCUAAAAUAUUCCAUGGUUUCACCAUG
rfam:Lentisphaera araneosa HTCC2155 1101329224571, whole genome shotgun sequence.